rnacentral:rRNA from 1 species
CACGUAGGCACCAAGCGUUGUCCGGAUUUAUUGGGCGUAAAGAGCUCGUAGGCGGUUCAGUAAGUCAGGUGUGAAAUCUUUGGGCUUAACCCAAAGCGUGCACUUGAUACUGCUGUGACUUGAGUUCGGUAGGGGAGUGGGGAAUUCCUAGUGUAGCGGUGAAAUGCGCAGAUAUUAGGAGGAACACCGGUGGCGAAGGCGCCACUCUGGGCCGAAACUGACGCUGAGGAGCGAAAGCGUGGGGAGCAAACGGG